rnacentral:rRNA from 1 species
GAUGAACGCUGGCGGCGUGCCUAAUACAUGCAAGUCGAGCGAACGGACGAGAAGCUUGCUUCUCUGAUGUUAGCGGCGGACGGGUGAGUAACACGUGGAUAACCUACCUAUAAGACUGGGAUAACUUCGGGAAGCCGUAGCUAAUACCGGAUAAUAUUUUGAACCGCAUGGUUCAAAAGUGAAAGACGGUCUUGCUGUCACUUAUAGAUGGAUCCGCGCUGCAUUAGCUAGUUGGUAAGGUAACGGCUUACCAAGGCAACGAUGCAUAGCCGACCUGAGAGGGUGAUCGGCCACACUGCAACUGAGACACGGUCCAGACUCCUACGGGAGGCAGCAGUAGGGAAUCUUCCGCAAUGGGCGAAAGCCUGACGGAGCAACGCCGCGUGAGUGAUGAAGGUCUUCGGAUCGUAAAACUCUGUUAUUAGGGAAGAACAUAUGUGUAAGUAACUGUGCACAUCUUGACGGUACCUAAUCAGAAAGCCACGGCUAACUACGUG